UAUCUUACUUAAGACUCAACUUUUUGACCCAAAAUGACUCGGCUUGUAAAAUAAGCUAAAUCCCAUUCAAACAUAACUAUCCAAUAAAUAAUUCAAAUCACUAAAUUAUGAUCCAACCUAAAUUCAUAAAAAAUAAAAAGAAAAGACAGAGUCUAAAAUAACUCAAACCCCAAUGUACCAAUUCCAACCCGUUCGACCUGACCCCUUAACCAUUUCUAUGUGGCAUAUAUGGAUAGCUAAAGAAUGCUAAAUGCAUUCAUAACUAGUUGUGAAGUUGUACUAUGCCAAAUAUUAUGUUUAGAUGACCAGUUACAACUUCACAACUA
rnacentral:misc_RNA from 1 species